rnacentral:lncRNA from 1 species
UAGGUUCUUGAGAAAGAAGAGUAGCAGUAGAAAAUACUGGGGGAAAGCACCGUGUCUUCGGCGUCACUGCGUUAGAAACCAGACAACUUUUAUCAAUCAAGGUGUAGAAAUCCUUAUUAAGGAAUCCAAGUAACAAGGUAUGUUACAUAUAAUUCUUACCUAUAUAAACGUCUUCCAGGGAAUUGUGGGAAUUGUGAUAAAGUGAAUAUUAGUUAACUUUUAUAAUAAUUAGAUAAUGAUGGGGAAGUUUGUAAUAAUUGCUGAAUUUGUAGAAUUAAAUGUAAAGUUGGACGUAAAAAUUGAGUAUCCAGUUAACUCAAGCAAGGAUUAACCAAUAAGGAUUUCUUUUAUAGCCAUGUUUUUAUACACAAUUUAUACUUAUCUUUCAGUUCCGUUUUUACAAGGAAGCACGAACUUGAAUCAAUAAUAUGUGUUAUUACGAGGGUUUAGUAGCGGACUACUAUUAGUUAUCUCUGACCAUUAUUAUUGCUUGGAGAUGAACACAGUAUAUCGAGCGCACAUGUUUAAUAGCGAAUCAAACUGUGAUGUGAAAAAAAAUAAAUGUAACUCUAAGUUUGAAUGUUAGGGAUAUUGAGAGUUGACUCCGACUAGCAUCAUUGACAUCGUUAAUUAAUAUUUUGGAUAGAUUGAGGUCAUUCAGGCUGUUUGGUUGGUGUUUUAGGCGUUGCGAGGUUGGCGAACUUCUCAUUAGCGAGGUAAGUGUUGCUUGCUUUUCAAACCCGUUUUGAAAGUAUAUUUUGUCUGCCUGGUCCAUGUGUUGGGACGAGCAUGCGCUUGGUAGAAUUGGUGGUCUUUGACCAGCCGCAAAUAUAUAUUAUUUUGUAAAAAAGUUAAAAUUAUUUAGUAAGUGAUUUGUGGGGUGGGGUGAUGUGGCGUAGCCUCGUGCUAUAGCGUUGGGGCGAUAUAAAUUAUUUCUUCGCUGCCGUAAUAUAUUUGAGGCAUUGCGUUUGCUGUCGUGGACUCAUUGGGGUAUUUGGUUAAUUUCCCUCGCUGCCAUUUAUGACAAGUCCUUAGUGUAGAUGGUGGUGCUAAGAUAUAUAGUGUUGUUGUUGAAUAAUUAUUUGGAGGCCAAAUACCUAUGCGGCCCCUUAAACUUGGCUCCAGUUUUCAUUUUAAUACUUUAACUAAGACCAGUACCUAUUGAACACUUAAACUUUAUCUUACUUAUACCUAUUAAACAUAUUUUUUAUAACCCUCAACAGACUUCAAAGCGUGAAGCUACUUGCCAUUGACCUAACAAAUGACACCAAUAAGAAAAAGACAAGUCAACAGAGAAAAAGUAGAGUAAAAAAUCUAGAAAGGAAAAAAGAGAAAGAGAAAUGAGUUUCAUUCCAUCUGCUUAAACGCUGAGUAUUGGGGAGAGUCUUCUAUGGAAUCUGAUUUCUUUCAAGCUCUGCAGCAGAUUGACGAUAUAUGAGAUUGGUCCAUUGACUAAAAAAUAAAUAUCUGAAGACAAAAAAUAAUUUGAAGUUCAGGAAAAAUUUGCAGAGCUUCAAGGUCAAAAAAUUCUCCAUCGUCGUCUUCUUCGUCAAUCUCAUACUUCACCAAUUUUCUUUGAUCCAAUUUCUGAUUAAUUUUAGUUAUCUCAUCAAUUCAACCUUCUGAGUCAACUUGUUCUUCGUCUCUGAAUUUUUAAAUCUCCGUUUCAUGUAAGGAGGGAAGGGAAAGGAUCGAGGCUGGUGGUGACAGUGGUGGGUAGGGAGGAGGAAGAAGGGGAAGGGUGGAGGGUGGUGUGCGGAGAAAGAAGAGCGAAGGAAAAUGGUCGCACCAAUGGCGGAGGAGCGGCAAUAAUAGAGUUAAUAAGGUGGUGAUAUAGUUUUUUUAGAAAAAGAAUUUUUUAUUUAAAUAAAAAAGAAGGAAAAAUAUAAUUUCAUAUCCAUUCACGCGCUUAAGAGUGGUGAAAUACAUAUUUUUUUNNNNNNNNNNNNNNNNNNNNNUUUUGCCAUGUCAGCUAUUGUGUUUAAUAGGCACAAGUAAGACAGGGUUUGAGUGUUCAAUAGGUACUGACUUUAGUUAAAGUGUCAAAAUAAAAACUGGAGCCAAGUUUAAGGGGCCGCAUAGAUAUUUGACCUUAUUUGGACCUUAUAGAAUAAUUAUAUGGUGAAAGAAUUUAUGUGCAUAUUAUUUCUGUGCUCGUUGUGUGUUUGUAUUUUCUAACAUUUGUUCAGAGGUAUUCAGAGUGGUGGGGAUCUUACUUGGUUAUAUUUACGUAUAACUCAUUCCUUACCUGCAUGUCCAUGCAGAUACUGUUGCUGAGGACGAGGCCAGUGGCUAACGAGUUUGUUGAGUGGAUUCUAUUGUUGAGGUGAACCGCCGCAUUCUUCGUGGAGGCCGUUAUUUCAGCUCUACCUAUCUUAUGUCUAUUAUUUUUUGGGGGGUUUACAUACCCGUCAGUUAAACUCUUAUUACUCUAUUAGAUGCUUCAUGGUUUUAGUAUGGAAUUUUGGUUAGAGACUUAUUAUUUGAGCACUCAUUAGACUUUAUUAAAAAAUUAUAAUUUUAGUUGGAUAACUAUUCUGC